GGGCGCUUGGUCUAGGGGUAUGAUUUUCGCUUCGCAUCUCAUUCCAAUCCUCAUGAGGAUCUGGAUAAUUGCGCUUGCUUGUGAAAGGUCGUGGGUUCAAUUCCCACAGUGUCCA
rfam:Colletotrichum salicis strain CBS 607.94 Scaffold_931.1, whole genome shotgun sequence.